CCUACGGGUGGCAGCAGUGAGGAAUAUUGGUCAAUGGGCGCGAGCCUGAACCAGCCAAGUCGCGUGAGGGAAGACGGUCCUAUGGAUUGUAAACUUCUUUUGUCGGGGAGCAAAAGACACCACGCGUGGCUUUCCGAGAGUACCCGAAGAAAAAGCAUCGGCUAACUCCGUGCCAGCAGCCGCGGUAAUACGGAGGAUGCGAGCGUUAUCCGGAUUUAUUGGGUUUAAAGGGUGCGCAGGCGGAAGAUUAAGUCAGCGGUAAAAUUGAGGGGCUCAACCCCUUCGAGCCGUUGAAACUGGUUGUCUUGAGUGAGCGAGAGGUAUGCGGAAUGCGAGGUGUAGCGGUGAAAUGCAUAGAUAUCACGCAGAACUCCGAUUGCGAAGGCAGCAUACCGGCGCUCAACUGACGCUGAGGCACGAAAGUGUGGGUAUCGAACAGGAUUAGAUACCCCAGUAGUC
rnacentral:rRNA from 1 species